rnacentral:rRNA from 1 species
UACGUAGGGGGCAAGCGUUGUCCGGAUUUAUUGGGCGUAAAGAGCGUGUAGGCGGCUCGGUAAGUCCGCUGUGAAAGUCCAAGGCUCAACCCUGGAAUGCCGGUGGAAACUGUCGAGCUAGAGUUCGGAAGAGGCGAGUGGAAUUCCCGGUGUAGCGGUGAAAUGCGCAGAUAUCGGGAGGAACACCUAUGGCGAAGGCAGCUCGCUGGGACGUUACUGACGCUGAGACGCGAAAGCGUGGGGAGCAAACAGG